GUCUUCGAGUCGUUGAUUUCACACUGCCGAGAAAAGCCUCUAGAUAGAAAAUAGGUGCCCGUACCGCAAACCGACACAGGUAGUCAAGAUGAGAAUUCUAAGGUGAGCGAGCGAACUCUCGUUAAGGAACUCGGCAAAAUGACCCCGUAACUUCGGGAGAAGGGGUGCUCUUUAGGGUUAACGCCCAGAAGAGCCGCAGUGAAUAGGCCCAAGCGACUGUUUAUCAAAAACACAGGUCUCUGCUAAACCGUAAGGUGAUGUAUAGGGGCUGACGCCUGCCCGGUGCUGGAAGGUUAAGAGGAGUGGUUAGCUUCUGCGAAGCUACGAAUCGAAGCCCCAGUAAACGGCGGCCGUAACUAUAACGGUCCUAAGGUAGCGAAAUUCCUUGUCGGGUAAGUUCCGACCCGCACGAAAGGCGUAACGAUUUGGGCACUGUCUCAACGAGAGACUCGGUGAAAUCAUAGUACCUGUGAAGAUGCAGGUUACCCGCGACAGGACGGAAAGACCCCGUGGAGCUUUACUGUAGCCUGAUAUUGAAAUUCGGCACAGCUUGUACAGGAUAGGUAGGAGC
rnacentral:rRNA from 2 species